rnacentral:sRNA from 1 species
AAUUCCAUACCUAAGUUCCACAACUAUAUCCACCAGGGUUUCAUCGUUGGGUCUCAUCAAACAAGCUAACAUUCAAGAUCCUUCUAU